rnacentral:tRNA from 2 species
GUGAGCAUAGCUCAAUGGUCAGAGCACUGGACUGUGGCUCCAGGGGCUGGGGGUUCAAGUCCCCUUGUUCACC